AGAAAAUUCAAAUGAAGCCUACAAGGGUAAUGAUAAUUCAGAUGGCAUGGAGCGGGGAAAAGCAUGUGAAGUUAACAUUACAACCCUUGGCACUUGUCACAUCGGUACAGAUAACAUUCUCUCUUCUGCCAAUGCUAUGUUUUUCUGUUCUGUUUUCAGGCAUUCAUGACAUUGAACAAUGGAUUCAUGGGUGGGUCCAUUUCUCAUGCUGGUAUUAUUUUUUAGCACUUCUCACAGCACAUUGACAACUGAGGAUUAUUGAGUUGCAUCAUCAAUUUAGGAUUUUCCAUGGGUUGUAAUAAUUAUAGAGAAGCUGCAAUCAUUGAAGAUGACGUGUUUGGUGAGGUUGACUUGAAUGGUUAAACAUGAAACCUGAUUGUUGUAAUAAUUACAGAGAAGCUGCAAUCAUUGAAGAUGACGUGUUUGGUGAGGUUGACAUGAAUGGUUAAACAUGAAACCUGGUAGAAGAUAAGGACUAGGAGCAUCUCCUUUACUACCAUACUAUACUGCGAAGCUAGCUAUUGUUUUUGUACUCAUCAACGCUGAUCCAUAACAGUAACCAGUCAGAUCUGCAGUUCAAAGUCUUUUCUCAACUUCCCUAUCAACGCUCAGUUCGGACGGUAUGAGGAUCCUUUCCUCAAUCCUUCUUUUCACACAGAAUAUCAGAGGAGUAGGAAAAGGAAAAAUGAAUCUGAAUUAUCCCAUGACAAUAGGAUGGAGUGACUCAUAAGUGUAUUAGAAAUUGUGCAGUGCUCCAUGAAUAAGAAAUAAAUUUUGUUCAUACUUUUUGAUUUAAUAGUUGAAGUAAUGCAAUUUCAAAAGCAAUUUCAGUUAGGUUUGUAAACAAUUGUUGGUCAUGUCUCCAACUUUAGGAUCUGAUCUUUGUUGGGUUGAUGGGCCAACUGAGGAAGUUGUUAAACUGUCUGAUUUAGAAGACCUUCCUUUGUUUAACCACUGCAAUAAACUGUAAUAUCUUUUACGCUGCAGUGUAUAAAAUUUGGUUUUUGAUUCAU